rnacentral:rRNA from 1 species
UGAAUACGUUCCCGGGCCUUGUACACACCGUCCGUCAAGCCAUGGAAGCCGGGUGUACCUAAAGUCGGUAACCGUAAGGAGCCGCCUAGGGUAAAACUGGUGACUGGGGCU